CAGUCGCCGCGGUAUACGAAGGGGGCUAGCGUUGUUCGGAAUCACUGGGCGUAAAGCGCACGUAGGCGGAUCUUUAAGUCAGGGGUGAAAUCCCGAGGCUCAACCUCGGAACUGCCUUUGAUACUGGGGAUCUCGAGUCCGGGAGAGGUGAGUGGAACUGCGAGUGUAGAGGUGAAAUUCGUAGAUAUUCGCAAGAACACCAGUGGCGAAGGCGGCUCACUGGUCCGGAACUGACGCUGAGGUGCGAAAGCGUGGGGAGCAAACAGGAUUAGAUACCCGCGUAGUCCCUGUCUCUUAUACA
rnacentral:rRNA from 1 species